GAAAGGAAAAGAGCGAUGAGGGGGGAAGGGAGCUGAGAGGUAGAGAUAGAAGUAGAAGUAGAGGUACAGAGGGAGGGGGAGGGAUGGUGGGAGAGAGGGAGGUCAGCCCCAGUCCAGUCCCUCCAGCUCCCCGGCAGGACCAAUGAAUGGCGAAGUUCAAUGGAAAGAACGAAGGGAAGGGACGGAGGACGUGAAUGGUGGGGUGGGUCGACAGGAGAGAGAGAGAGAGAGAGAGAGAGAGAGAGAGAGAGAGAGAGAGAGAGAGAGAGAGAGAAGCUAUCUUGCUGAUUCCAAAAAAUGAAAGACGGAGAAAUUCAAGAGCUUUUCAAAACCAAAUAAGAAACCUGAUGGAAAGUGGAGAAUGGGAGAAUUAAAAUAAAAGAAGAAAUACAAGAGGGAAAAAAUAGAUGGAAAAUAAGUACUGGCCUAACCACCUACACCUUUCUCCCUCGCCUACCACCCCCGAGGCUACAGCUGACCAGCGGAGUGAGUUAUGAGACUUCGGAAUCGAUCUUAGGAACCCUAUCGCCUAAAAGUGUGAACCAGUCGCACCUCUGCUCGAAUCCUAAUAAGAGAGAUUCGAAAAGGUGCUACUGAGACACAAUGUACCAGUGGUGGUGGCUGUGCAGCUCGUGGUGGUGGUAGCGGUGGCAGUAAUAACUAAAGGCGAAAUUAUUCCAAGUUAAAUUGCAGUGUUGUGAGACCAGCAGAGAAAUGGUGUGGCCGUGGGGGACGAUGACUCACUCUCGACAUGACACAACAGGCGAUGACAAGAUGUUUACCGCUGAGCUGAGCAACCAACUGUCUCGCUGGCCUCCACCUCCCACACAGCACCAACACACUCAACGGAUCGCCCUCACUCAUCCUCACAGUAACCGCUUCCCUCAACACUUAAUAUUUUCUUAAUCUUUUCAAUAACUGCCAUUCGAUCACAACGAGUUAUUCUUAUCGUUAACGUCACGUACAUUUCGACUCAAUCAACUUAGCAUUACCACUAUCAAUAUACCAACAUUACCGAAAGUACCCACGGCCACUAACGUCCUCCAUACACUUCACCGUACUAACUACAAUGCUAGUGCAUGAAGUUAUGACCAGCACACAUCACACUUCCACCUCCACACUUCCCCCUUCUGCCUACGAAUAUGGUUGUGGUGAAAUUACGUACACGUCCUGAUUUUCAGGCUCGAAGCAUAUCAAGUGACAGAACAUUACACACACACACACACACACACACAAACCACUGGUCUGCUGGCAGUGAAGGUUGUGGUAAGAAAGGAAUCCUGCAAACUUCUCACGUCACAGAAAUCUUUCCCAACAAUUUAAUCAAAACUGAAUAUCACACUUUUACUUCAUUUUUUUCUUCUUUUGGUCUUCGGCCAAAUUUGAAGAAAUAGUUUAUCUCACUCAUUCUCAUCGUGUUAUUCUUUACAUUAAAACAUUUUGCAACUUCCCUUUUUUAUAUUACUUUUCCUUCCAAUUCUCUCACUAUGAGUGAUGCUACAUUUCACGGGGUUGACACGUGCACACGGUAACACAUAGGUGCUGUAACACUAACUCCUACAACUCUGAAUCACAUAACCACCACAAGAAAAGGAAAAUAGAAACAAAAGAAGGGGAAAUAAGAGAAUAUUGUAUAAGCCGUGAAGAACUUGCCUUGAUCUCACUUCAUGAAUACAAACGAGUUUCAAGAGUCGGAGCAACACAAGCAUGUCCUCUUACCUCUGCUUUAAACAAUCGAAUAAUACAUUCCUCUCACACUCACGUCUUUCCCUAUUUUCAUUACCUCCAUGUGGCUACCGUCAUGUAACUAGUACCGACUGGUCUUGAGUGUGGCUGGCUCCUCUGCAUAGUCACGCUGCUGACGCCUCCACAACCUUCUCUUUUACUUCACACGUCAUACUUUAUACACCGAGCUUAGUUUCAUCAAGGCUACGAGGUUAACUAUACGCCAAAUAAUUUUAGUUUUUACGGUGGUAUUUUCACUAUUAACGAUACAGGAAUUAAAAUGUCGAAAGA